AUUGAACGCUGGCGGCAUGCCUUACACAUGCAAGUCGAACGGUAACAGGUCUUCGGAUGCUGACGAGUGGCGAACGGGUGAGUAAUACAUCGGAACGUGCCCGAUCGUGGGGGAUAACGAAGCGAAAGCUUUGCUAAUACCGCAUAAGAUCUACGGAUGAAAGCAGGGGACCGCAAGGCCUUGCGCGAACGGAGCGGCCGAUGGCAGAUUAGGUAGUUGGUGGGAUAAAAGCUUACCAAGCCGACGAUCUGUAGCUGGUCUGAGAGGACGACCAGCCACACUGGGACUGAGACACGGCCCAGACUCCUACGGGAGGCAGCAGUGGGGAAUUUUGGACAAUGGGCGAAAGCCUGAUCCAGCCAUGCCGCGUGCAGGAUGAAGGCCUUCGGGUUGUAAACUGCUUUUGUACGGAACGAAAAGACUCUGGUUAAUACCUGGGGUGCAUGACGGUACCGUAAGAAUAAGCACCGGCUAACUACGUG
rnacentral:rRNA from 1 species